rnacentral:rRNA from 1 species
UACAGAGGCCACAAGCGUUAGGCGGAAUCACUGGGCUUAAAGCGUGUGUAGGCGGGUUGGGAAGUAUCUUGUGAAAUCCCACGGCUUAACCGUGGAAUUGCUGGGUAUACUGCCGAUCUUGAGUCAUCUAGAGGUAACCGGAACAGAUGGUGGAGCGGUGAAAUGCAUAGAUAUCAUCUGGAACGCCAAUGGUGCAGACAGGUUACUGGGGAUGUACUGACGCUGAGGCACGAAAGCCAGGGGAGCAAACGGG